AAACAAAAUACAUUAGUAAUAUGAUUUCGGCUCAUAACCAGACGAAAGUCUUUGUUUU
rnacentral:tRNA from 1 species